rnacentral:rRNA from 1 species
GCAAGACCUCGCGCGAUUGGAGCGGCCGAUAUCAGAUUAGGUAGUUGGUGAGGUAAAGGCUCACCAAGCCGACGAUCUGUAGCUGGUCUGAGAGGACGACCAGCCACACUGGGACUGAGACACGGGCCCAGACUCCUACGGGAGGCAGCAGUGGGGAAUUUUGGACAAUGGGCGCAAGCCUGAUCCAGCAAUGCCGCGUGCAGGAUGAAGGCCUUCGGGUUGUAAACUGCUUUUGUACGGAACGAAACGGUGAGCUCUAAUACAGUUUGCUAAUGACGGUACCGUAAGAAUAAGCACCGGCUAACUACGUG